ACGCGAAGAACCUUACCUGGGUUUGACAUCCUUUGACCGCCAUGGAAACAUGGUUUUCCCGACUCUGUCGGGACAGAGUGACAGGUGCUGCAUGGCUGUCGUCAGCUCGUGUCGUGAGAUGUUGGGUUAAGUCCCGCAACGAGCGCAACCCUUGUCUUUAGUUGCCAGUAUUAAGUUAGGCACUCUAAAGAGACUGCCUCGGUUAACGAGGAGGAAGGUGGGGAUGACGUCAAGUCCUCAUGGCCUUUAUACCCAGGGCUACACACGUGCUACAAUGGGCUGUACAAAGGGUUGCUAUCCCGCGAGGGGGAGCUAAUCCCAAAAAGCAGCUCUCAGUUCGGAUUGAAGUCUGCAACUCGACUUCAUGAAGUCGGAAUCGCUAGUAAUCGUGGAUCAGCAUGCCACGGUGAAUACGUUCCCGGGUCUUGUACACACCG
rnacentral:rRNA from 1 species